rnacentral:rRNA from 1 species
UGCGUAGGCGGACUAAUAAGUCAGUGGUGAAAUCUCUCGGCUCAACCGGGAAACUGCCAUUGAUACUGUUAGUCUUGAGUUCGGUUGAGGUAGGCGGAAUGUGUAAUGUAGCGGUGAAGUGCUUAGAUAUUACACAGAACACCAAUUGCGUAGGCAGCUUACUAGACCGACACUGACGCUGAGGCACGAAAGCGUGGGUAGCGAACAGGAUUAGAUACCCUGGUAGUCC